rnacentral:rRNA from 1 species
CGGACGGGUGAGUAACGCGUGAGAAUCUGCCUUUUGGUCGGGGACAACCACUGGAAACGGUGGCUAAUACCGGAUGAGCCUACGGGUAAAAGAUUUAUUGCCAAAAGAAGAGCUCGCGUCUGAUUAGCUAGUUGGUGUGGUAAGAGCGCACCAAGGCGACGAUCAGUAGCUGGUCUGAGAGGAUGACCAGCCACACUGGGACUGAGACACGGCCCAGACUCCUACGGGAGGCAGCAGUGGGGAAUUUUCCGCAAUGGGCGCAAGCCUGACGGAGCAAGACCGCGUGAGGGAGGAAGGCUCUUGGGUUGUAAACCUCUUUUAUCAGGGAAGAAAAAAAUGACGGUACCUGAUGAAUCAGCAUCGGCUAACUCCGUGCCAGCAGCCGCGGUAAUACGGAGGAUGCAAGCGUUAUCCGGAAUUAUUGGGCGUAAAGCGUCCGCAGGUGGCUAUUCAAGUCUGUUGUUAAAGCACGGGGCUUAACCCCGGAAAGGCAAUGGAAACUGAAAAGCUAGAGUGCAGUAGGGGUAAAGGGAAUUCCCGGUGUAGCGGUGAAAUGCGUAGAGAUCGGGAAGAACAUCGGUGGCGAAAGCGCUUUACUGGACUGCAACUGACACUCAGGGACGAAAGCUAGGGGAGCGAAUGGGAUUAGAUACCCACAGUAGUC